AGGAUGUCCUGGUGUCAGGAGUGUAGGUGAUACAUCUACACUGGAGAAUCCAGGAUGGACUCUUGAUCUUGACCAGUCCUACCCCUUGAAAACCAUGCGUUUUCUGCCUAUAAAGCCAAUCUGCUGAGGUCAUUGAAACACUUUCCGGAAGACACACAGCA